rnacentral:rRNA from 1 species
UACGUAGGAUGCAAGCGUUGUCCGGAUUUACUGGGCGUAAAGCGCGCGCAGGCGGCAGUGUAAGUAAGGUGUGAAAUCUCCCUGCUCAACGGGGAGGGUGCACUUUAGACUACACAGCUAGAGGUCGGUAGAGGGGGGUGGAAUUGCUGGUGUAGCGGUGAAAUGCGUAGAGAUCAGCAGGAACACCCGUGGCGAAGGCGGUUCUCUGGGCAUGUCCUGACGCUGAGGAGCGAAAGUGUGGGGAGCAAACAGG